AUGCAGCAGCGGAUAUCCUUCCAGGGAGGUGAUGACGCAAAGGGCAUACCUGUUCGGUUUGGGUUGGCUGCAAGGCCCUAGGCUCGGCUCCAACUACCUACAUCUCAAUGAUGAAGUAGUGGAUAUCCUUAUGUGGAGGCCAUGCUGCAAAGGGCAUGGCUGUUCGGUUCCCCAUUGGGCUGACUUCAUGGCCCUCUAGGCUCGGCUUCAGCUACUUCCGUCUCAGUUGCAGCUCUGGCCCCUAAAGCGGACGUUUUUCCAAGGUGGAGGGGGAGUGCUUGGACGCCUGAGUGACACCUUUAAAACCAUGAUGCAGGAACGGAAAUCCUUUUGUGGAGUCAACGAUGCAAAGGGCAUGGCGGUUUGGUUCCCCGCUGGGACUGGCUUCACGACCCUAGGCUCGCCUUCAGCUAUUUCCAUCUAAGUUGCAGAUGCCGAUGUAUGAGUAUAUGCACCUUUCAGCGUUGAAGCCAUGGAGAUUCUGCUCUCCGCCUCCACCUUGUGUUGUCUAUUGAGUAACAAGUCAGAUUUACUCGAGGCCAUUUUGUUGCUGGAUAAAAUCGAUGGAUGCCACCACCUCAAGAAGGGAGACAUGUUGCUCCAGGUGUGCUACCGCCUACGCAGUGAUAAGCAGCCCGACCGGCUGAUGAUGACUGAGCCCUCCGCUGGUGAGCCCGACCUGCUGCCAGCUAGGUACCAUCCACACACUCCACCAGCACGCCGCAACCACCAGGAGCACCACUGCACCAGAAGGUAGCGCCAACACUCAUGUGCUUCUCAAGUAUUUGUUUUCUUGCUUUCUUUGUUUUUUAUGCUAAGAUGAUACUGAUAAUUUUGAUUUAUGUGAUCUUUGUAUUGUGCAAAAUUUGCGUCAGGAUUUUCAUGAUUUGGUUCAUAUAUAGGUGAGUAGUUCCAUCAUGUCGUGAAAUUCUGAAAUGGA